rnacentral:rRNA from 1 species
ACGGAAGGCAGCAGUGAGGAAUAUUGGUCAAUGGGCGUAAGCCUGAACCAGCCAUGCCGCGUGCAGGAUGACGGCCUUAUGGGUUGCAAACUGCUUUUGUUCGGGACGAGAAUGAGCACGUGUGCUCAAAUGACGGUACCGGAAGAAUAAGCACCGGCUAACUCCGUGCCAGCAGCCGCGGUAAUACGGAGGGUGCAAGCGUUAUCCGGAUUUAUUGGGUUUAAAGGGUGCGUAGACGGUCUGGUAAGUCAGUGGUGAAAUUGGCUCGCUCAACGAGACAAUUGCCAUUGAUACUGUUGGACUAGAAUGCGAUCGGCGUCGGAGGAAUGCGACAAGUAGCGGUGAAAUGCAUAGAUAUCACACAGAACACCGAUCGCGUAGGCAGCGCACUACGCCGCAACUGACGCUGAGGCACGAAGGCGCGGGGAUCGAACAGGAUUAGAUACCCUGGUA